rnacentral:tRNA from 1 species
GCUCGGGUGGCGGAGGCGAUGGGGGCGGCUCCGGUGCUUCCGGUGACGGGCCCGGCGGUGGGGGCGGCGGUUCGGGUGCCGCCCCCGGUCCCC